rnacentral:misc_RNA from 1 species
GAAGAAGAAGAAGAAGAGAAGAAGAAAAACAGGAGAAGCAGUGAUGGAUCAGAUAGACCCGGAGUCACAGUUUCUUGCUUCAAAGCAGGAGACAGGUUACGAAUGGGAACUCUUCAAGGAAAAUGUGAGACCUUUGAAGAGAGGCCGAAACGUUCGCCUCUUGAACGACGCCCUCAAAUCCCACAACCACAAUCAACUCAAGAAGUCUCUUCUUGAGACUCGAAGGAGGUUGAUUGAGGCAAUUGAUGACUAUAAAGGGGAUGAUCCUCUCCUGCCAUGGCUCGAGUGUAUUAAAUGGGUUCAGGAGUCAUUUCCGCCUGGUGGAGAUUGCUCAGGACUGAUAUUAAUAUAUGAGCAAUGUGUGCGUGCCUUUUGGCAUUCAGAUCUCUACAAGGACGAUCUUCGCUACCUCAAAGUGUGGCUGGAAUAUGCUGAAAACUGUGCUGAUGCGGAAGUCAUUUACAAUUUUCUUGACGCAAAUGAAAUUGGAAAGUCACAUUCUGCAUUCUAUGUUGCAUAUGCUUUACAUAUGGAGUCCAAGUCUAAGAUGAAGGCUGCAAAUGACAUAUUUGAUCUUGGGAUAUCUAGGGAGGCUCAACCAAUAGAAAAAUUGAAGGACGCCUACAAGAAAUUUCUCAUGAGAUCAAUGAGAAGACCAAAAGUUGUGGAGGUAUGCAACUUAUAUUAAGUGAAAUAAUUUUUAUGUAAAUGAUUUAUUGUUGUGUCUUGUUUCCAUUUUUAGGAUGCCUCUGGAGAAAAUAACUUGCCAGUCCGAAGCUUUGGAACUGUGUUGGCCAGCGCAGAAAACAGUAAGUCUUUAUUACUGUGUUCCACCGUCUCAAGUUCUUUACAUGCUUAAAAACUGUUUCUUUUCUUCUAGGGAGGCACAAUAUGGAGAAUUCAGAUAUUUCCAGGAACAGAUUGAAUCUAGACAGGCAAGUAUAUAGGAUUCUACUGUAGCUGCCAUGGAUUGUCUUGAGAUUAUUUUUCUCCUUCUCUCUCCUUUGUUCCAAUCUCCUUGUCCUUUAUGAGAUAUGACAAUAAAGUAUGAAAAAUACAAAAGAUUCAAUCAAGACUGCUUAUUACAGAAAUACAGAAACUAAUUUUGUAUUAUUACAGGAAUACAGAAACUAAUUUUGUAACUAACUGUAAUAAAAUCAGACAAAAGAUAACAGAUUGAUUUAGGAUUGCAACAAAUCACACAUCACAUGCAUCAUUUCCAUUAAGAAAUAAAUUGUCUAAUGCAUUCUGCUUUGAAUUGAAGGGGAAAGGAGUGGACAAAAAUGGAAUGUUAUCAAAAUUAUCUCAGGAAUGAAUUUUUUUUAGUUAAAUUGUAAUGGCUUGUUCUUAUAAUUCAUUCAAAAUCCAAAUUUCCAUGUUUUGAUGACAUAGUUCUUUUACAUCUUUUUGGGUUUAUAAAUAUAUGUAUAGUCAAAUGGUGAAAAAUGAUCCAUAUA